GCAUUGCUUUAUCUACAUGAGUCGGGAAGACUGGAGAUAAGAGUGGGAUAGACAUGCAGCCUUGUUUCUGUCGAGCACCAGAAGCCUGCAUCAGGUCCGCUGGACAUCUCCCUUUGGAUGUCUCGUCGAGAGAUUAUUAGUACAACAGGAGACGAGGGGCUAAAGGUAAGGCAGACCCUAUGUAUUUUUCUCCUCGUCUCUGCUUCUCAGACUUGUCCUUUUGGAGAGCAGUGAUAAAGCAGAUGGAUUUAGUUUUUAUGUCAGUCAUCAUCAGCUGGGUGGAAGUUUUUGUGUGAAAGAAAAGGCUAGCAUUAAAUUGAUUGAUGGUUCAUUUUUCCUAUUUGCUCCUUGGUCAUUGGAGUGACACCAGGAGGGCUGUCUCGUUAGAGGAGUGUGAGACAAUGGCUCUGACACACACAGAAUUCAUCGCUUGUAAUUGAUCCCUGGAAAUAGCAUAGUCACACAUCGUCCCCAAUAAAUUUGCCUGCUGAACUACUUGGGACAAUCUACCCUGCACUUUUUUCAAAGGCUAUAAGAAAUUAACAGCAUGUAAUCUCACAAGGAAUAUUUGUCGUCGAAUUUCUCCAACAAAUGGGAGAUGACAAAUAUUUCACAUGUGGAUUAAUAAUUUCACCUUUGAGUUUUCUUCAUUUCCGGUCACAACCAGGCCAUACAAGAUGUACAAAUGUGUGAUUUCAGGCACAGCUGUGGUUGUACAAGGCACAGGUGUUGUGUCCUAGCAGACUUUAGCCUUAGAUCCUAUUGUUGUUAUCACUCCCCUUAUCAAAACAUCCAGGGUUUUUGCCCUAGCAGGUGAUGAUCCAAGAAGGAAGGAAGAAAUAAUUCUCCAACUGGACCCACUAUUGUCCACCAGGGUUUACUUUCCCCUGGGGACUUGCUCAUAGAAAAUUCCUCUGCCACCAGCCUGCCCCCAGAAAUGGCUGCAGCCCCUUGAGUGCUCCAACAUAAGUGGGGACAAAAUCUUCUGUCUCUGGCUGUCCUUAGCACAGAUAAGCCUGGCUGGACCUGUCAGAGAAAAUUGAAGAACAAAAGGAGCACACAGGAGGGAUAAACACAAAGAAGGCAAGAACGAUAAAAUGCUCUGCUUAGAAAGUGCAAAUUUCUGAACCUGCCUGAGCCACCGAGCUCUGAAGGCUCAAGGGCCCUUCUCUUUCUAUAAUUUUCUCCUGAGGAUGAUGCUAUGCUUAACCUGAAAAGAGAGCAGGGCGCCUGACUUCCUGGCUUCUCAGCAAUGGUGUCACUAGUUAUAGAUGCCUCUCCGCAGAAAGUCUGAGUUCUCCUUUUGUUCUUCUCAUGCAGACAGUAUCAAAGCAGCUCACCCUUCUUCCAGCAGGAAACGUGAAUGUGUGAAAAGAGCGACCAUUUGUUAGACUCUGUUUCUGGCCCAGCAUCAUGAUGUUUCUUAGGGUAAGGGGCAGGGGAGGAUGGAGAGGCAAUAGUGAAGAAACUGUUUUGUGAUUCAGAGGAAAGAGCAAGGUGACAAAAAAAAAAAAGGACCAUGAUUUAAUUUUAAUUAAAAUUAAAUAGGCAUACAUGACUGGUGGUUAAUGUUUUAGUGAAGCUCAAGAGACUAAGCGUGGCAGGGGCCCAGCAGAAAGUAGGUCCAGCAUCUCUGCCGCAAAGGCAAAGUCAUCCCCCGUCCUGCCCUGCCCCGCUCCACCCCGCCUGCUGGUCAAGGCCCCUCUGUCUCCCUCCUCCUGAAAGAGCACUGGACUAGAGUGUAGGUCAAGAGUGGCAAUGAUUUGGCUGUUGGCUAGUGGCAUCCUGCCCUAGCCUGGCUGUUUGUGCCCACAACCACCCACCAGCCUGAAGGAUCAGGUUGCUGCUUUGAUUUAGCCUCUCUAUUGCCACUCAGCCCGCACCUUUGCUGUCUCACCCUCCUGUACAGUGAGGCCUUUCCCUGUCCAUUUGAUUCCUAUUAGAGAACCAGGCAUUUCCCCGGUGACGGUGGAAAUAAGGUAUUCCAGGUGCAUGCUGUAAGGAAGGCGCAUGCGCGCAUAUGUAUGCACACACGCAUGCGCCGUCUAGACCAAGGCGGGCACCUGUUCCAUCCCAGGGAGUAGAGGCGGCCACAUUCCCAAGGGGUUCUGUUACAGGCGGCCACAGGCUCCAAAGCCCAGAGCUGAUUCUGCUCUGGCUCCACUUCUUUCCUCUGCUGUCUGCUUAGUAAAGGAGCAAAGGCCAGGCCCAAGGCCCGCAGGUCACUAUAGAGUAUGGUGACCCCUAAGAAAACAAGAUCAACCGUCUUCAGGGCCCAUCCCCAACCUGCAAGGGGUCCCUGAGUUUACUAGUUAUUUGGGAUCACAAAGAUCCCAAGCAAUUUGCACAGUCUUCCUUGCUGCCACUCCUCUCCUAACCAGAAGCAACCAGGGAGCGAGACGCCACUUCACAUGGGACAAAGGUGGAUGUGAGAUGUGCAAGACCAGACCCUGAGGAAGGGCCACGGUGACCCAAGGGCUGGGCCCUUCAGCCUAAACUUACCUCUAGACUGAAAGGUGAUAGGUCCCAGGCGGAGCCCAGAGGGAGGGGGUGGGCAGCUGAGAUGGAGGCCAGGCUGGAAGGACUGGAGGGGAGCCAACACUGGUGUGUCUGCACACAGGAGCUGGGAGAGUCUCCCUAGAGCCUCAGGGCUCUUCCAGCAAAAGGUAAAGUUUGAAACCCCCCCAACACACACACUCAGAGGAGUCCAGCCCUCCUGCAGCGCUCUUACACCCCAUCCCUGCAACCUGCAACUUGGCCUCCACCCCUUCCCCACACUCUGCCCCUACUAUCCGACAGAGUUUUGAGCCAGGGCCGUAGGGGCCCUGAAGGGAGGCCGGUCUUCUCUUUCACCUUGGUUCCUGGGACGCGCUGCGUCAUCAUGGCAGAGGCCAAGAGCUAGAUCCCGUGCCCGGGAUGCAGACUGAGCAGAAAGGGUGGAGGAGGCCGAGCAUGGAGUUGUGGACCAUCUCUCACCCUGCCCAGAGCCCCCAGCGCCCCAGUUCUUGCCAUGUGCCCUCUUGUGGGUGCUGAUGGGGCGUGGUGAGAGAUGCAGUGCACAGCCACAGCCUCCUCUCACCAGACCCUGGGACUCACCCUCUGCCCCCGACUCUCAGACAUCUGUUGAAUCCUGACUUCAAGCCUCACAUGGUGAAGCUCCUCCCUGCGGAAAUAAAGGGUUCAAGAAGGAUCUGGAAGGAGACAGAAACUCAGCUCAGCUGGCACAUCAAGGUCAGGGGCCUCACCUCUCCUAAUUUUAAAGAGAAAGAUCUGUAAGCAGAGGAGAGAAGCCAGCCGAGUGACCCCUGAGUGGAAAUCAGGGCAGAAAUCUUUUGCAACAGAAUCCCCAUGGGAAACAUGACAAAAUUAGCAACAGGAAUGAGGUCUCCCUCGGAGGAUACAAGAAUCACUGGGUUGAAAAUAACCACAAGGUCAUCUAGUUCAGCUGCCACCACUUGCCUGAAUUUUUCCAGAAAUUUUUGGACAAGCAGUCAUCCAGCCUCAUCCAGCAGCUCAGUACUCAGCAGCCCCCUCCUGAUGGUGGGCAAGGUUUUAAAGGCCCCUGGGGCUCUCGUGCUUCCAGGGGCAGCUCGCAGAGGGCAGCGGGCAGCAGGCAGCACACAGGGGCCCGGGUCCAGCGCUUCCCUCCCUCCGGCUGCUGUGUUUAUACUCCAUUGAUUCACAGCAAAGACUCUUGGCGAGAUCAAGAUUUCUUUACACCGCUUGGGUGGCUGCUUUAGUGAACCAGCCUUAAAACAUGCCCCCGAGGAGGUCAGUUUUUGGUUAUCGUUGGCUUUAAUUCCUGGAAAAGUUCUGGAAAUCACGAUUUCAGAACCAGAAAGAGCUUCGGCAUCUCAUCCAGCCACCUCACAUGACUCGUGAGAACCGAAGGGAGCCUGGAGCCUAGGGUGGAAUUCAGACCUUAUUCCCCACUGUUCCCCCCAGUGCCCUCUGAGCUGCAGUCCCAGUGGCUCUGGGACCCUCCAGAAGGUGCUCAGUGGCCUCUCUAGGGUCUCGUGUUACCUGAUCCACUGCAGCCCUGGCCCUGUGGACUCCUCCCCGGUUCUCAGCUCCUCCCUUGGUCUUUGCAGCCCCAUUCCCGGCUAGUAGGCUGGGGAAAGGGUGUGCAGUGUCCAUGCCUUUUCAGUGCCUCGCUUUCCCAUGUCUCCACCUGUGCACAAGCCUAGAAGCGCUCCAAACUCUCUCCUUUUGGAUUUUUUUAAUGGAGGCUUCAUUGUAUUGGCUGAUUAAAUCAUCAGCCGCUGGUGAUUGAAUGUAAUCUCCAGCCCUCCCAGGAGACUGGGGGUAUUCAGGGGGCUCGGGGCUCAAGUUCCAACCCACUCAUCACAUGGUUGGCUCCCCUGGAAACCAACCCCCACUCUUAGGUGCUUUCCAAACUCACCUCAUUAAUAUAAAUCCAGCUAUGGUGAAAGGGGGCUUGUUUUGAAUAACAAGACAUCCGUUUGAUCUCUAGAGCUCUGGAGAGAUUCAGGCACUGAGGCCAGGGAAUCAAAUAUUAUGACAAAAGUUGUUCCCACUACAUUUUUUGCUCAGGAAAUUCCAAAGGUUUUGGAAGCUGUGAUCCAGGAACCAUGGAACCAGUAUCUGUGAGGGAUAUAUUUUGGUCCUCUGAAUGACCAAAUAACUCUUAUUAUAAAUCACAAUAUCUGAGGCUGCCACAGUUUGUGCAGCCACUCCUUGACCACUGCCCCCUCCAACCAUUUCAGCCACUAAGUCUUACUCGCCUUAAAAAUAGUCGUGCUUGUUUGGGCAGCUUCUCUCCACGGAUUGAGUCUUUCACAGCUACAUUUUUUGAUCAGUAUCUACCCUUUGCUUCCACUUCAUCCCCUUCCCUCCAGCUGUCACCACAGUUUUUAUCUGUCUUACGCCCCAGCGCUCCCCUGGACCUGCUCUCACCAGCGGACUUCACCUUCCUAAUUCCAGUGUUUACUUUUAGUCCCUGCCUUGCUUGAUGGCCUCAUAAUGUUUGGCACAGCUGACUGUACCCUCCCUUGUAAAAUUCUCCUUUCGCUUGGGUUCCUCGACCCGAUGUUUUUCUCCUAAUUUCCAAGUAGGCUCUUUUGCCUACGUGACCCAGGCCUUGAAAUCCUGGAGUCACGUGGCACUCUGUCCCGGAGCUCCUUCCUGAGUCAGCCCACCUCUUUCCUCGUGAUCCCAUCCGCCCCGGUGACUUGGCUCGCCAUCUGUCUGUAAACGAAUGGCCCUUUAAUCUGUGGCACCUGCUCAGACUUGCUCCUGAGCCAGAAUGUCACCACGGGAUGUUGCAUAUGUAUAGCUCUCUGAGCCUCGAUGUGUCAGAAGCUGACUCAGAACCUUCUCCCUGGUCUCACCGUCACCACCCAUCACUCUGCAUCCCAGGAAACAGCUUACACUUGCUAUUCAAGGCAGACCCUGAGGGCCUUGAACCCCUUUCCCUUCUUAACCACCCCACUCCUCUUCUAAUAGGCUCUAAGGUCAUGUCCUUCUCUCUAAUGCAGCUGUCCCAGGCUCUGACCAUCACUUCUUAUUUGCAUGUAGCAGACACCUCUAACCACACCUCCCUGUGUCCACUCUUGACUUCUUCCAAUCCACUCUCAUGUUGCAGCCAGAGAGGAUGUUACAAGGCGCACAUGGGAUUAUGUCACCUGACUGUUUCAAAGCCUUCAAUGGUCCCCAUGUUUAGGAUGGCACCCCAAACCUCAACAUGGCUGGAUUUCUGUCUCACAAUGCUUUUUCUCAAACACAGCUCUCCAGCUUAAUUCAACAUUUUCAUUUCUUCCAAUGCCUCCACUCUUUUUCAUGUCUAAUUAGUUAGCAUUCCCUGCCCAUUAGAUUUAAAUUUAAAGACCCAUGACGUUAUGAAUCUGUUUUAUUCACCACUAUACAUAUAUAGCAAUUAGCACAAUGUCUGACAAAUAUUUGGAAACUACAUGAUUUAUUUAUUCAGAAAAUAGUUUUUAAAUGCCUGGUCUGUGUCAAGCUCCAUUCUUGAUUCUUGGUGAUGUGGAAAUAUUUUUUUUAAAAGAGAGACAAAACCCUUUGCCCUUAAGGAGUUAUAUUCUACUAGAGAGAGAGAAACACAAUGAGAAGAAUAGGUGGUAUAUCUGAUGGUGAUAACUGCCAAAGAAAAAAAUUAAGUAGGGAAGGAGGGGGGAUAAAGAAAGAAAGGAGGCAGACAGAAGGAGAGAUGGAGAGACAGAGGGAAGGAGAGAUGGAGAGACAGAGGGAAGCAAGCAGAUAUUUGGGGGAAGAACAUCCAACAAGGAGAGUGGCAAGUUCAAAGGUCCUGGAUGGAUAUAUGCCUUCAGAGUUCAUGACCAGAAAGAAGGUCAGUAUGACUAGAGAGAAUGAGGCAGGGAGAGCAGUGGAAGAUCAGUGCGGAGACUCGAAGGGCUCCCUGAUGCAGGGCUGGUGGUCCUGAGGGAGCUGUCGCCGUGUGUGCAACGCAGAGCUGCUGGAGCGCUCUGGGUAGAGGGUUGCUGUGGCAGGACGAGGAUUUCAGCGGUCUCACUCAGCAUGCCAGCAUGCUCUGUUGGAAACAGACUGAACAGGAGUAAGGAUGGGAGCAAAAGUGCCUGGUAGGAGGCUGCUGCCGCCACCCAGGUGAUCCAUAAUGGCAGCUGCAACCAGGGUGGUAGCAGAGAGGUUGAAUCCUUUACACAUUUUGAAGGUAGAGGUGACAGGGUUUCCUGAUGAUCGGAAUGUAGCAUUUACGAGAAAGAGGAAUCGAGAACGAUUCCAACGGUAACCCUAAGUUUGGUUUCGGAAUCUUGGAAUCUGUUUCUGUUUUGUAAGUUCUGUGGUAUCAAAUGCCACGGGUUAGUGAUGUCAUGUUACUUGUUUUUCCAAGUGGGAAAUGAGGGGAGAGAAAUAAUUUGGGAGGUUGGGACUAACAUGUACACACUGUGAUAUAUAAAAUUGAUAAGUAACAAGGACCUACUUCCCAGCACAGGUAAAUCUACUCAAUGAUGUACAGGGUAAAAGAGACUGAAAAGGAAUGAUUCUAUGUAAGUGUGUGUGUGUGUGUGUGUGUGUGUGUGUGUGUGUGUGAGAUUCACUUUGCUGUGCACCUGAAACUAACACAACAUUGUAAGUCAAUUACACUCCAAUAAAAAUUUUUAAAUGAAAAAAAAAA
rnacentral:lncRNA from 1 species